rnacentral:rRNA from 1 species
CUACGGGAGGCAGCAGUGGGGAAUAUUGGACAAUGGGCGAAAGCCUGAUCCAGCAAUACCGCGUGUGUGAAGAAGGCCUGAGGGUUGUAAAGCACUUUUAAUCGGGAGGAACAUCUACGGGCCAAUACCCCGUAGUCUGACAUUACCGAUAGAAAAAGCACCGGCUAACUCCGUGCCAGCAGCCGCGGUAAUACGGAGGGUGCAAGCGUUAAUCGGAAUUACUGGGCGUAAAGCGUGCGUAGGCGGUUGCUUAAGUCAGAUGUGAAAGCCCCGGGCUUAACCUGGGAACUGCAUUUGAUACUGGGCGACUAGAGUUGAGUAGAGGAGAGUGGAAUUUCAGGUGUAGCGGUGAAAUGCGUAGAGAUCUGAAGGAACACCAGUGGCGAAGGCGACUCUCUGGACUCAAACUGACGCUGAGGUACGAAAGCGUGGGUAGCAAACAGGAUUAGAUACCCCGGUAGU